GACGAACGCUGGCGGCGUGCUUAACACAUGCAAGUCGAACGGAAAGGCCUCUUUCGGGGGGUACUCGAGUGGCGAACGGGUGAGUAACACGUGAGUAACCUGCCCUUGACUUUGGGAUAACUUCAGGAAACUGGGGCUAAUACCGGAUAGGAGCUCCUGCUGCAUGGUGGGGGUUGGAAAGUUUCGGCGGUUGGGGAUGGACUCGCGGCUUAUCAGCUUGUUGGUGGGGUAGUGGCUUACCAAGGCUUUGACGGGUAGCCGGCCUGAGAGGGUGACCGGCCACAUUGGGACUGAGAUACGGCCCAGACUCCUACGGGAGGCAGCAGUGGGGAAUAUUGCACAAUGGGUGGAAGCCUGAUGCAGCAACGCCGUGUGCGGGAUGACGGCCUUCGGGUUGUAAACCGCUUUCGCUCAUGACGAAGCUUUGUGUGACGGUAGUGGGUAAAGAAGCACCGGCUAACUACGUGC
rnacentral:rRNA from 1 species